rnacentral:rRNA from 1 species
UACGUAGGGUGCAAGCGUUGUCCGGAAUCAUUGGGCGUAAAGAGCGUGUAGGCGGCCCGAUCAGUCCGCUGUAAAAGUCCAGGGCUCAACCCUGGGAUGCCGGUGGAUACUGUCGGGCUAGAGUCCGGAAGAGGCGAGUGGAAUUCCUGGUGUAGCGGUGAAAUGCGCAGAUAUCAGGAGGAACACCAAUGGCGAAGGCAGCUCGCUGGGACGGUACUGACGCUGAGACGCGAAAGCGUGGGGAGCAAACAGG